GGUCACCAACAGCAAGAGGAGCUUUUAAUUCUGUGCUUCACCCAGUUGUGAUUUUAUUAAUUCUAACACUGAUUUGUUUAUUACUUGUAAUCAUAUUAUAUGUGAAAAUCUGGCACAUGCUGAGGUGACUCGUCCGGCAUGAAUUACCCAAGGAGUCUGCAAGUUGGCCUAGGUGUUAGAUUACUUUUCUUAGCCUCCUGGUAACCCAUGGGUAAGGCAAGUUCUGUUAUGCACAUUAGCGACACGCACGUUUGUUGCUCCCGCUUCACAGGCACGUUCUGCCGGGAGCUAACAAUCUACCCUCGCUAGGGCCAUUACUACACAGACACCUAUAUGAGGAUAUAGCAAAUGGCGUUUAUUACAGCGUGGCAGCUCCUUAAAUACACACCUUGCCUUGUCUACGCUCCCUAAGCACAUGUCAUAUUUAAAUCACAGAGCAGGGGAGGUCCUAUCGCGUCACAUCCCGAGUCCCCGUUAACACCUACUGCAACACACGUUUUGCUCCUUUCCUUUAUGUGAUUUCAACAUAUGUAUCUUUCCCUUCUCCCCUCGUUCCCCUCAACACUUUUUUUCUUAACACCAUCAUGGGACAGUGAUAACAAGACAUCGGGUGGUGUGAGAAGCAGGAACAAUGCUUGGCUCAAAGCUUUUUCAACUGCACCCAUACAAGGCAUGAUCUGACUGACAAGUUUUUUGAAGUUAAUGGUUGAGCAGAGUGGUGAGAGGACAGAUGUGCUGCUCCUCCUGAUGAACAAAAUGUGGGUAUCCCUACAGCUACCAUCACUGUGAUGGAAAGGACAUGAUGCCCCUGAUAAUUGGGGUAGGCAGACCCCAAGAGUUCUAAGGAAGAACGGGUGCCCCCCUCCACUGAACUGUAACUGUGUUAGUCAAUGAGACGUUGUUGACCAACCUGAUGCCUCCCCAUGGACCAACAAGAUAUCGCUGGAUCCUUCGGUGGUGAGAAAAAUAAGCAAGAAAAUGCAUGCUGGAAUAAGCAAGAUUUUAAAGCCCUCAAGUGAAACUGUAAGCAUGCUGAAGAAACUCAGAGGUUUACUACAAUGCAG
rnacentral:lncRNA from 1 species